ACUGGUCUGAAAAUGAGCCAGUCACUUAGGAAGGAGGGCAGGUCGAGCGCUCACGGCCCGCAGACAGGCACGCGGGAGGGGACUGUGGAGCCCGGCUCGCCACUGAGGCACAAAGCUGUGGCCCUCCCCCGACGUGGCCCAGACACGCGCCACCGCCGGCCCCACCGCUCUCCUGCAGGUCAUUUGCAUCUAUCAGUUGAUAUUGGAAUAACUCCCCCCACAAAUGACAGUUGCCGGGUGUUUGAGACCUUCCUGUGAAGUUGAGUAUGUGCCGCGAGUUCUCGUGUACCCGAAACUGUGUUCGUUCCCUCCCGCCGUCUGUAGCAUCGCUGGCUACGGCAUUCAGGGUCAAAGUGUUUCCUUCAGAUCUUUGAAAGACAGUACUCUUUUUCUUUGCUCUUAAACAGUUUGUUUUUUGGAAAGCUAAA